rnacentral:lncRNA from 1 species
UGCAUGUGCGGAGUGGGUAGUGCACAUGCCGGUAAUGAUGCUGUGGUGAUAAUUACAACCGUGCAUGUGCGGAGUGGGUAGUGCACAUGCUGGUAAUGAUGCUGUCGUGAUAAUUACAACCGUGCAUGUGCUGAGUGGGAAGUGCACAUGUCAGUAAUGAUGCUGUCGUGAUAAUUACAACCGUGCAUGUGCGGAGUGGGCAGUGCACAUGCCAGUAAUGAUGCUGUAGUGAUAGUUACAACCGUGCAUGUGCAGAGUAGGCAGUGCACAUGCCGGUAAUGAUGAUGUCGUGAUAAUUACAACUGUGCAUGUGCGGAGUGGGCAGUGCACAUGCCGGUAAUGAUGCUGUCGUGAUAAUUACAUCCGUGCAUGUGCGGAGUGGGCAGUGCACAUGCCGGUGAUGAUGUACAUGAGCUGGAUGAGGUAUGGUGGUAUAAUAAUUGAUAUAUGCUUAAGCAUAUGUAUAUGCAAUAGAAAGAUUAUGCUUAUAAUAUGUGAUUAAAUGGCAUGAUAAAUCUUGAAAAUUUCCCAUUUACAUGUUAAUUGAUUUUAUUGCAACAAGAACAUUCUAUUUAUACUACCUUGCUUGGAUUAUUGCUGGAAAUUUCCUCUCUUUCCGAUUUCCUGCUAAAUAUGGUUCCUUCAUUAUGAAAUGAUUUAAUAACCCGGGGUUGAUGGAAGGAUUUUAAUAAGAACUUGAACUAGGUUGCACUAUUUUCAAACUUAAGUGCAUCAUGAUUUCUAAAUCAUUCCUUGUAAUUGCUUGUUUUCUUCCUAUGUUCACUGACUGAGUUUAUACUCACGUUUUUAAAAUUCAUGUUUUAGGUUUCCUGAGUUAAAGGUGAUUGGAUCCUAGGACGAGGUGCUCCUCCCUAUCCAUUGCUCGAUAGGUUUAACGUGGCACUAAAUGUUAGCAACCGUGCCCAGAGUCACUUAGCUGACGGUCAAGGUUUAAUCAUGCGUAUAUGAAUACUUGGUGUGAAAUACUAAGAAUCAUUUGUUAAUCUAUAUAUGAAUAUAAUGGUUGGUGAUACCAUUAUGAAUGCAUGAUUGGGUUUUAUGAAUUGUUUUCAAAAGAACGGUAUUUGAACAUUACAAAUUUUGGAUUCUAAAGGAAUAAGGAUUUAUGUAUAAGAUCAAUAGAGUAGGCUUGUUUGGGCUUAGUGGGCUAAGCCCAUUGGGUCCUUACGCUGGUCAUGGUCCGGGAAUUUAGGCUAUGACAAGUUUCCAUUGAGUUUUUAGUAUAUGAAACCAACAAAUCUUGUGGUAUCUGUAUCUAGCAUGGCUCCUCCUUAAGAUCAUAGCUAGAAGCACUAAAUUUUCCUUCUUUUAUAUCUAGUAACUACAAAG